AUCUGAAAAAUAAAAUUACUUGAUUUUUCCAGGAAUUCUUUUUAAAUGUAAAAAGUAGGAUCAGAAGUUUGGAGACGAAUACUACUAUUAACAGUUUUCCUAAAUGGUUCAAUUCCGAAGUAGAACUCGUUAAGAAAUUUCAUCUUGCAGACAAAUCUAUACAUAAAGCAUUAUGCGACAAUAUCGAUACGAGGACUGUUCUCGAUUUAAUACGGGAGCUCGUGGCAAAUUGCAAUGUGUACAUGAAUCAAAGUAAAAAUCCAAAUACGAUUUUUCUCAAGCGUAUUGCGAUGUAUAUUACUGACAUGUUUAUCAUUUUUGGGGCUAUUCCUUCCUCGUAUGACUCAAUCGGAUUUCCAAUUGAUGAUGAGGCAGUCAGUAAAAAUGUUGAAAAGACUGAAAAGGCUGAAAAGUUAUGUUAUCAUAUUCUGAAAAAUUUCCGAUUUAAAGUUCGCAAAUGCGCGGAAACCUUGAAGGCAAACGAUAUUUUGCAAGAGUGCGAUCGA